rnacentral:rRNA from 1 species
UCAAGCGAACAAGAGCAUAAGGUGAAUGCCUUGGCAUCAGGAGCCGAAGAAGGACGUGACUAACUGCGAAAAGCUGCGGGGAGCUGUAAAUAAGCAACGAUCCGCAGAUAUCCGAAUUGGGGAACCACUUAAGUGAAGAACUUAAGAUCGUGAUAUGAAUAAAAUAGUAUCACGAAGGGAACGCGGGGAAGUGAAACAUCUAAGUACCCGUAGGAAGAGAAAUCAAACGAGAUUUUGUGAGUAGCGGCGAGCGAAAGCGAAAGAGGCCAAACCGAAGGUAGCAAUAUCGUCGGGGUUAGGACUGUGAAAAGCAUUGAGGAAGCGUAGUCGAAUGGUGUGGGAAAGCCAUCCAAAGAAUGUGAGAGACAUGUAGACGAAACGCAGAGACAGCGAACAGUAUCCAGAGUACGAUCGGACACGUGGAACCCGAUCGGAACAUGGGGGGACCACCCUCUAAGCCUAAAUACUACCUGAUGACCGAUAGAGAACAAGUACUGUGAAGGAACGGUGAAAAGAACCCCGGGAGGGGAGUGAAAAAGAACCUGAAACCUUAUGUUUACAAGCACACAAAGCACGUUAAAGUGCGAUGUGGUACUUUUUGUAGAACGGUCCGGCGAGUUAUUGUAUGCAGCGAGGUUAAGUACUGAAGGUACGAAGCCGAAGGGAAACCGAGGAUGAAACGUCCGUUAAGUUGCAUGUAAUAGACCCGAAACCGGGUGACCUAUCCAUGAGCAGGUUGAAGUUGCCGUAAAAGGCAAUGGAGGACCGAACCGACCCCCGUUGAAACGUUGGCGGAUGACUUGUGGAUAGCGGAGAAAUUCCAAUCGAACCCGGAUAUAGCUGGUUCUCCCCGAAAUAGCUUUAGGGCUAGCCUUGAAUAUAUUUACCGCAGGUAAAGCACUGAAUGGUUGCGGGGUCGAAAGACUACCAACGCCUAUCAAACUAAGAAUGGCGGAUAAAUGAGUUCAGGAGUCAGACUACGUGAGAUAAGUCUCGUGGUCAAAAGGGAAACAGCCCAGAUCUACAGCUAAGGUCCCAAAUAUAUGCUAAGUGGAAAAGGAUGUGGCAAUGUUAAGACAACCAGGAUGUUGGCUCAGAAGCAGCCACUCAUUAAAAGAGUGCGUAACAGCUCACUGGUCGAAUGAUGCUGCGCCGAAAAUUUAACGGGGCUAAGCAUAUAACCGAAGCUUAGGCAGUGCAAACUGGGUAGGGGAGCGUCGAAUACGGGGUGAAGCAUGAUCGGAAGGACAUGUGGACUGUAUUCGAGUGAGAAUGCCGGAAUGAGUAGCGAGAAUUGCGUGAGAAUCGUAAUGGCCGAAAAUCUAAGGUUUCCGGGGGAAGGGUCGUCCUCCCCGGGUUAGCCGGGCGCUAAGGCGAGGCCGAGAGGCGUAGUCGAUGCACAUACGGUAGAGAAUCCGUAGCCACCGAAGAUUUAAGCACACUGACACAACAUGAAGUUCUGACUCGGGCGUUGGUAGCCCCGAUCGACUGAAAUUUAGUAGGGAGAUCAGGAUGACAUGGUGGCGAGAAAAGGUGUGAGGGAUAUCAAGGUGCCCGUACCGCAAACCGACACAGGUAGAUGAGGAGAGAAUCCUAAGGCCAUCGGGAGAAGGGUUGUUAAGGAACUCGGCAUAUUAACCCCGUAACUUCGGAAGAAGGGGUGCCUCGAAAGAGGCCACAGUGAAAAGGCCCAGGCGACUGUUUAUCAAAAACACAGGUCUCUGCAAAACCGUAAGGUGAAGUAUAGGGGCUGACGCCUGCCCGGUGCCGGAAGGUCAAGGGGAAGUGUUAGAGCAAUCGAAGCACAGAACUUAAGCCCCGGUAAACGGCGGCCGUAACUAUAACGGUCCUAAGGUAGCGAAAUUCCUUGUCAGGUAAGUUCUGACCCGCACGAAUGGCGUAACGAUCUGGGCACUGUCUCAACAGCCCGCCCGGCGAAAUUGUAGUACCGGUGAAGAUGCCGGUUACCCGCGACUAGACGGAAAGACCCCAUGGAGCUUUACUGUAGUUUGAUAUUGAAUUUCGGCACAUUAUGUACAGGAUAGGUGGGAGACAGAGAAACAGUGGCGUCAGCCAUUGCGGAGUCGCCGUUGGGAUACCACUCUUGAUGUAUCGGGGUUCUAACCUGCUCCCCUGAAUCGGGGAGGGGGACAAUGUCAGAUCCCUUAUUCUCAAUCCCUCCUACAAGGGUGCCGAUUUGUCGGGACUGGACAAUCUGGAGCAACUCGGCAGUUUCAAAUUAGGCUCAAUCAUUUCUACGAGUAAAAAUACUACGCUCAAAACGGUUAAUCUACCCUCCUUGCUUGGAGUGGUCAGUGAUUUUGUUAUUAACAGUUCCGUCAUUGAAAAAGUUUCCAUUCCUAAGGUCACAACCAUCGGCGAAGAUCUGUAUGUGACCUCUGACGCGUUACUCGAUUUGGAUGCAAAUGCAGUCGAAUCUAUCGGUUCUUCCUUAAUUGUUAAGGGUUCUGUGAUACAAAAAGAAUCAGCGACAACCGAAGCAAUUGUCUUUUCAGCGCUCAAACGGGUUGGGAACGAACUUACAAUACAGUAUUUUCCCAAAUUGCAAGGAAUUUAUCUGCCUGCAUUAGAAAGUGUUGCAGGUACUGCCUCAUUUACCGAUAUGGCCUUAAUCGGGAGUAUUGCAAUGACUGAAUUAUAUUCGGCAGGAGGUCUGACUAU